rnacentral:rRNA from 1 species
AACGAACGCUGGCGGCAUGCCUAACACAUGCAAGUCGAACGAGACCUUCGGGUCUAGUGGCGCACGUGUGCGUAACGCGUGGGAACCUGCCCUUAGGUUCGGAAUAACUCCCCUAAAGGGAUGCUAAUGCCGGAUAAUGUCUUCGGACCAAAGAUUUAUGGCCUUUGGAUGGGCGCGCGUUGGUUUCGCUAGUUGGUAGGGUAAAAGCCUACCAACGCGACGAUCCUUAGCUGGUCGGAGAGGAUGAUCAGCCACACUGGAACUGAGACACGGCCCAGCCUCGUACGGGAGGCAGCAGUGGGGAAUAUUGGACAAUGGGCGAAAGCCUGAUCCAGCAAUGCCGGGUGAGUGAUGAAGGCCUUAGGGUUGUAAAGCUCUUUUACCCGGGAUGAUAAUGACAGUACCGGGAGAAUAAGCUCCGGCUAACUCCGUG